rnacentral:rRNA from 1 species
AAUAGAUACCCGGUAGUCCACGCCGUAAACGAUGAGUGCUAAGUGUUAGGGGGUUUCCGCCCCUUAGUGCUGGCAGCUAACGCAUUAAGCACUCCGCCUGGGGAGUACGGUCGCAAGACUGAAACUCAAAGGAAUUGACGGGGGCCCGCACAAGCGGUGGAGCAUGUGGUUUAAUUCGAAGCAACGCGAAGAACCUUACCAGGUCUUGACAUCCCAUUGACCACUAUGGAGACAUAGUUUUCCCUUCGGGGACAACGGUGACAGGUGGUGCAUGGUUGUCGUCAGCUCGUGUCGUGAGAUGUUGGGUUAAGUCCCGCAACGAGCGCAACCCUUGUUCUUAGUUGCCAUCAUUUAGUUGGGCACUCUAAGGAGACUGCCGGUGACAAACCGGAGGAAGGUGGGGAUGACGUCAAAUCAUCAUGCCCCUUAUGACCUGGGCUACACACGUGCUACAAUGGACGGUACAAACGGUUGCCAACCCGCGAGGGGAGCUAAUCCGAUAAAACCGUUCUCAGUUCGGAUUGUAGGCUGCAACUCGCCUACAUGAAGCC